GUCUCUUCGGAGACUAUAGUCAAGCAGUAAAAAAACAGAGAAGAUUAGCAUGGCCCCUAGUACUAAGUAUGACACGCGUUCGAUUAAGAAGCUACAUUUUCUU
rnacentral:snRNA from 1 species